UUAUAAAUAUCCUUUUCGCUGCCCAGCUUCAGCAACUACUUGAGCUUCGUUAAGCUGCCGUCUCUCUAAUGUUCCUUUAUUUUCUUCUAAAAAUAGCGUUGAUGAACAUCAUUUUGUGUACCAGAGGAGUUUCUGGUGAUGGUCACACAAUCCCUCUAAGAAGUUCUGAGCUUACUCAUUCCUAUUUUUGUUUUAAUUUUUUUAAUGUUUAAAAUAAAUUUUCUUUGAUUUCUUGUAAAAGAAGGGAGAAAGGAAUAAAAAGCGAUGUGAUGAUAGAAAUUCAAUGGUCUGUCAAUCCACUGAUCUAAUUUGAUGUUACAUUGAAGUUCCGACAGGUUCUGAUCGCUUUUUAUUCCCCCUUUCUUCUAGAUUUCUUUAAAAAAUGAUUUUAGGUUUGAACUUGGUUCUACUGAGUUAAUGUUCUGGGCAUAUGAUGAAUCUCAUGUUGUAAUGGGUAAUUUGCGUCUGAACUAGUAUUUCUUGAUGCUAAAACACCUUGGAGACCUGAUGCCACUUUUUUCAAUGUAUUUGGAAACAUUAUUUUCUUUAGUGAUUGAAGCCAGAUCUUAUGCUUAUUUCGUUGGAUUCCUUUUUUACUUAGGUUAUGAUGGUUUUGCUUAUUAGAUAGCAUAUCGCUAAAGAUAUGCUGUAAAUGCUUAAUGGAUGAGCAACCUUGGCAAGGGGACUCGGAAGACUUUUUCUCUCGCUUGUAAUACGCAAUGGCUUGAUUAUGAUAUAUAUUUUUGUUUAUUUGCCGAGAAGAUCAAGUGUGUAAUGUUUUGAGAAACACACCAAAUUGUAUUUGUUCUUUUUAUUGCAUAGCAAUUGGAUUUGGUGGUUCUUUACAUGUAACUUUUGCAAUGAAUCACAUCCGACCAAUUUGCAGGAUAACGUGCUAUAAAACUAUAUUGAACUUCA